CAGGGUUUCACCAUUUGGUACAACAUUCCUUUCCCACUUCUGAAGGACUUUGAGAGAGCAACCUGUACUUCAGUAGGAACCUUCUAAAAACUGAAAAAUUUGGUGGGACUCAGCAGGUGCACACCUAUUCUCCUUAGUCAUGAAGAAUGACCCAGCAAAACAUCAAAUCUAGAGACAGAAGCUGAUACUGAGAGGACAGUAUGCCAUAAAUCAUCAUAUCAUCUCAGGAAAAAGUGCUAAGAAGUAGAACACAGAUCUCCAUGGAUGGUAUCAAAGGUACCAGUAUUGAAACAGACCUGAAUCUGCUCUGAUCUUCUAGGGCAACUCUGCUUCCCUACACUUCAUCUAAAAUGGUCUUGAAAUAGGGAAGCAACUUGGUGACUCAGUUCAUGCAGUACAUUAAAUAAGCCAUGGAUUUUGGAUUGAGAAGGAGGGAGAGUCCAGGUUUGGCUUGGAUGGCUAUAAAUAAACUUGCUAAGAAACCCAAAACUGUUUAUUAAAGGGAAAAUGUUCUGAAAGGGUAUUAUGCACUGAGCUUGCUAUCAAAUCUUCAGAACUGUUACAAAGGUCAAUUCUUUAUAGGGUACAGAGAAAAGUGGGUGCUUGAAUAACUUCUUUGCCUAGCAGCCACUUCAAAAUGAUGAUGAUGAUGAUGAUGAUGAUGAUGAUGAUGAUGAUGAUGAUGAUG